rnacentral:rRNA from 1 species
UGCGUAGGUGGCAAGCGUUGUCCGGAAUUAUUGGGCGUAAAGCGAGCGCAGGCGGUUCUUUAAGUCUGAUGUGAAAGCCCACGGCUCAACCGUGGAGGGUCAUUGGAAACUGGGGGACUUGAGUGCAGGAGAGAAGAGUGGAAUUCCACGUGUAGCGGUGAAAUGCGUAGAGAUGUGGAGGAACACCAGUGGCGAAGGCGGCUUUCUGGUCUGUAACUGACGCUGAGGCGUGAAAGCGUGGGGAGCAAACAGG